GUUUUCUGAAGACGUUUGAAUUUUUCCGUGAGCGCUUUCAAGAGUCCGAUCAUUAAAUUACCUUAGGGAUAACAGCGUUAUUUUUUUUAAAGUUCUUAUUGACAUAAAAAAUCGCGACCUCGAUGUUGGAUUAAAAUUUAUUUUUGGUGUAGAAGCUU
rnacentral:lncRNA from 1 species